GCGCUGAUGAUGGGGGCGACACCGAUCCUGAGCCGCCGCCGAUGGCUCAGGACAACGCCGCCUUCUGCGGGGUCCCCGAGGGGGUCCCCACGGGGGUCCCCGCCGAGGCCAAGCCCCCUCCCCCGCCCCCCCAAGCCCCCAAACGCCGCCCGUGGGGGGCCGGGGGGGGGCGCGGCGGCCCGGAAGCGCCAGCGCUACGUGGAGAAGGACGGCAAGUGCAACGUCCAGCACGGCAACGUGCGCGAGACCUACCGCUACCUGACCGACAUCUUCACCACCCUGGUGGACCUCAAGUGGCGCUUCAGCCUCCUCAUCUUCAUCCUGGCCUACGCCCUCACCUGGCUCUUCUUCGGCCUCAUCUGGUGGGUCAUCGCCUACAGCCGCGGCGACCUGGAGCACCUGGGCGACCACACCUGGACGCCGUGCGUCAACAACCUCAACGGCUUUGUGUCCGCCUUCCUCUUCUCCAUCGAGACCGAGACCACCAUCGGCUACGGCCACCGCGUCAUCACGGACACGUGCCCCGAGGGCAUCGUGCUGCUGCUGCUGCAGGCCAUCCUGGGCUCCAUGGUCAACGCCUUCAUGGUGGGCUGCAUGUUCGUCAAGAUCUCGCAGCCCAACAAGCGCGCCGAGACCUUGGUGUUCUCCUCGCACGCCGUGGUGUCGCUGCGCGACGACCGCCUGUGCCUGAUGUUCCGCGUGGGCGACCUGCGCGACUCGCACAUCGUGGAGGCCUCCAUCCGCGCCAAGCUCAUCCAGUCCAAGCAGACGCAGGAGGGCGAGUUCAUCCCGCUGGACCAGACCGACCUGAGCGUGGGCUUCGAGACGGGCGACGACCGGCUCUUCCUGGUGUCGCCGCUCAUCAUCAGCCACGAGAUCGACGAGCGCAGCCCCUUCUGGGACGUGUCGCGGGGGCAGCUGGAGAGGGACGACUUCGAGAUCGUCGUCAUCCUCGAGGGCAUGGUGGAGGCCACAGGGAUGACGCGCCAGGCGCGCAGCUCGUACCUGGCGGACGAGGUGCUGUGGGGUCAGGGUGUCCUGGGGGCUUCAGAUAUCGGGGUCCCCGUGCCCUGAGUGACCCAGGUUUUGGGGUCCCCAUGCCCAGAGUAACUCAGGUAUUGGGGUCCCCAUGCCCAAAGUCAUAUAUCGGGGUGCCCAUGACCUGAGUGACUCAAACAUUGGGGUCCCCGUGCCCUGAGUGACUCAGGUAUUGGGGUCCCCAUGCCCUGAGUGACUCCGAUAUCAGGAUCCCCAUGCCCUGAGUGACCCAGGUUUUGGGGUCCCCAUGCCCUGAGUGACUCAGGUUUUGGGGUCCCCAUGCCCUGAGUGACUCAGGUUUUGGGGUCCCCAUGCCCUGAGUGACUCUGAUAUCAGGAUCCCCAUGCCCUGAGUGACUCAGGUUUUGGGGUCCCCGUGCCCUGAGUGACCCAGGUUUUGGGGUCCCCAUGCCCUGAGUGACUCCGAUAUCAGGAUCCCCAUGCCCUGAGUGACUCAGAUAUCGGGGUCCCCAUGCCCUGAGUGACUCAGGUUUUGGGGUCCCCAUGCCCUGAGUGACUCAGGUUUUGGGGUCCCCAUGCCCUGAGUGACUCCGAUAUCAGGAUCCCCAUGCCCUGAGUGGCUCAGGUUUUGGGGUGCCCCUCACCCCUGCCCCCCGUGCCCCCCAGGGAUGACGCGCCAGGCGCGCAGCUCGUACCUGGCGGACGAGGUGCUGUGGGGUCAGGGUGUCCUGGGGGCUUCAGGUAUCGAGGUCCCCGUGCCCUGAGUGACCCAGGUUUUGGGGUCCCCAUGCCCUGAGUGACUCCGAUAUCAGGAUCCCCAUGCCCUGAGUGACUCAGAUAUCGGGGUCCCCAUGCCCUGAGUGACUCAGGUUUUGGGGUCCCCAUGCCCUGAGUGACUCCGAUAUCAGGAUCCCCAUGCCCUGAGUGACUCAGAUAUCGGGGUCCCCAUGCCCUGAGUGACUCAGGUUUUGGGGUCCCCAUGCCCUGAGUAACUCAGGUUUUGGGGUCCCCAUGCCCUGACUGACUCCGAUAUCAGGAUCCCCAUGCCCUGAGUGGCUCAGGUUUUGGGGUGCCCCUCACCCCUGCCCCCCGUGCCCCCCAGGGAUGACGUGCCAGGCGCGCAGCUCGUACCUGGCGGACAAGGUGCUGUGGGGUCAGGGUGUCCUGGGGGCCUCAGAUAUCGGGGUCCCCGUGCCCUGAGUGACCCAGGUUUUGGGGUC